UUCAAUUAUUAGGGAAAGAAAAAACUAAUACCAGAAGGAAUCACGUUGAAGUUUUUUGGAUGGGUUAUGGUUUUGUUAUGUACAACCACUGUUUCAUGCGGGAAGGUUGAAGGCUUUCCUUUGCUAAAAUCUCGAGCUUUCAAUCUCUCAGGAUCCUUUGUUCAACAACACGACAUCCAUGAUCUCAUCAGGACGGUUAGCUCAGCAAAAAUAGACGACAAAGACGAAUACUACAAGGAAUAUCACAAUUUUUUCAGUCCAAGAAAUCAAAGGGUGGAAAAGGUGCGACCGGUGGUGCAAAUGUCCCCCACCAUCCCAGCA